rnacentral:rRNA from 1 species
UACGAAGGGGGCUAGCGUUGCUCGGAAUGACUGGGCGUAAAGGGCGCGUAGGCGGAUGGCACAGUCAGAUGUGAAAUUCCCGGGCUUAACCUGGGGGCUGCAUUUGAUACGUGUUGUCUUGAGUUCGGAAGAGGGUCGUGGAAUUCCCAGUGUAGAGGUGAAAUUCGUAGAUAUUGGGAAGAACACCGGUGGCGAAGGCGGCGACCUGGUCCGACACUGACGCUGAGGCGCGAAAGCGUGGGGAGCAAACGGGG